rnacentral:tRNA from 1 species
GAGGUUGUAGCUCAGCGGUAGAGUGCUUGCCUAGCAUAUAUGAGGCACUGGGUUUGAUUCUCAGCACCACA